rnacentral:rRNA from 1 species
CACAAGCGGUGGAUGAUGUGGAUUAAUUCGAUGCAACGCGAAAACCUUACCUACCUUGACAUGUCCGGAAUCCCGAAGAGAUUUGGGAGUGCUCGCAAGAGAGCCGGAACACAGGUGCUGCAUGGCUGUCGUCAGCUCGUGUCGUGAGAUGUUGGGUUAAGUCCCGCAACGAGCGCAACCCUUGUCAUUAGUUGCCAUCAUUUGGUUGGGCACUCUAAUGAGACUGCCGGUGACAAACCGGAGGAAGGUGGGGAUGACGUCAAGUCCUCAUGGCCCUUAUGGGUAGGGCUUCACACGUCAUACAAUGGUCGGUACAGAGGGUUGCCAACCCGCGAGGGGGAGCUAAUCCCACAAAGCCGAUCGUAGUCCGGAUCGCAGUCUGCAACUCGACUGCGUGAAGUCGGAAUCGCUAGUAAUCGUGGAUCAGCAUGUCACGGUGAAUACGUUCCCGGGUCUU